CCCUUAGAUGUCCGGGGCUGCACGCGCGCUACACUGUAGAAAGCAGCGUGCUUUAAAACCUUUCCUGAAAAGGAUGGGUAACCCCAGCAAAAUUCUACGUGCUUGGGAUAGAGAUUUGCAAUUUUCUCUCUUGAACGAGGAAUUCCCAGUAAGUGCGAGUCAUCAGCUCGCGUUGAUUACGUCCCUGCCCUUUGUACACACCGCCCGUCGCUACUACUGAUUGGAUGUUUAAGCGAGGUUCUCGAACUGCUAGCGACUUAGCUUCGGUGAGGUCGCAGUGUGGGAAGUGAACCUAGCUUUGGUGUCUAGAGGAAGUAAAAGUCGUAACA
rnacentral:rRNA from 1 species